CCUACGGGUGGCAGCAGUGGGGAAUAUUGCACAAUGGGGGAAACCCUGAUGCAGCGACGCCGCGUGAGUGAAGAAGUAUUUCGGUAUGUAAAGCUCUAUCAGCAGGGAAGAAAAUGACGGUACCUGAUUAAGAAGCCCCGGCUAACUACGUGCCAGCAGCCGCGGUAAUACGUAGGGGGCAAGCGUUAUCCGGAUUUACUGGGUGUAAAGGGAGCGUAGACGGCAGCACAAGUCUGGAGUGAAAUGCCGGGGCUUAACCCCGGAACUGCUUUGGAAACUGUGCAGCUAGAGUGCAGGAGAGGUAAGUGGAAUUCCUGGUGUAGCGGUGAAAGGCGUAGAUAUUAGGAGGAACACCAGGGGCGAGGGCGGCUUACGGGACUGUAACUGACGUUGAGGCUCGAAAGCGUGGGGAGCAAACAGGAUUAGAUACCCUUGUAGUA
rnacentral:rRNA from 1 species